rnacentral:rRNA from 1 species
UACGAAGGGGGCUAGCGUUGUUCGGAAUUACUGGGCGUAAAGCGCGCGCAGGCGGUCUUCCAAGUCAGUGGUGAAAGCCCGGAGCUCAACUCCGGAACUGCCAUUGAAACUGUUAGACUUGAGGAUGAGGGAGGUGAGUGGAAUUCCCAGUGUAGAGGUGAAAUUCGUAGAUAUUGGGAAGAACACCGGUGGCGAAGGCGGCUCACUGGCUCAUUACUGACGCUCAGGCGCGAUAGCGUGGGGAUCAAACAGG